rnacentral:rRNA from 1 species
GGAAUUGACGGGGCCCGCACAAGCAGCGGAGCGUGUGGUUUAAUUCGAUGCAACGCGAAGGACCUUACCAGGGUUUGACAUGUUAGAAGUAGGAACUCGAAAGAGGGACGACCUGUAUCCAAUCAGGAGCUAACACAGGUGCUGCAUGGCUGUCGUCAGCUCGUGCCGUGAGGUGUUAGGUUAAGUCCUGCAACGAGCGCAACCCUCGUCGCUAGUUAAUUUCUCUAGCGAGACUGCCCGUAUAACGUGGAGGAAGGUGGGGAUGACGUCAAGUCAGCAUGGCCCUUACACCCUGGGCGACACACACGCUACAAUGGGUGGUACAGCGGGUUGCUAAGGAGCAAUCCGGAGCUAAUCCCUGAAAACCAUCCUCAGUUCAGAUUGCAGGCUGAAACUGCCUGCAUGAAGUAGGAGUUGCUAGUAACCGCGGGUCAGCUACACCGCGGUGAAUAUGUUCCCGGGCCUU